rnacentral:rRNA from 1 species
AUGAACGCUGACAGAAUGCUUAACACAUGCACGUCUUUGGUGAAGCUGUGCUUGCACAGCCUAGCCAAGGCGGACGGGUGAGUAACGCGUAAGGAACUUGCCCUGCAGUCAGGGAUAACAGACGGAAACGACUGAUAAGACCUGGUAAAGUCAGGCGGACUCAUGUCCAGCCUGAUGAAAAGAGAUGCUGCAGGAGAGCCUUGCGUCCUAUUAGCUUGUUGGUGGGGUAACGGCCCACCAAGGCAAUGAUAGGUAGCCGGCCUGAGAGGGUGGACGGCCACAAGGGGACUGAGAUACGGCCCUUACUCCUACGGGAGGCAGCAGUGGGGAAUAUUGGACAAUGGGGGCAACCCUGAUCCAGCAAUUCUGUGUGCACGAUGAAGGUUUUCGGAUUGUAAAGUGCUUUCAGCAGGGAAGAAAAAAAUGACGGUACCUGCAGAAGAAGCGACGGCUAAAUACGUG